UGGCGGACGGGUGAGUAACGCGUGGAAAACCUGCCGUAUACUGGGGGAUAACACUUAGAAAUAGGUGCUAAUACCGCAUAAGCGCACAGCUUCGCAUGAAGCGGUGUGAAAAACUCUGGUGGUAUACGAUGGUUCCGCGUCUGAUUAGCUGGUUGGCGGGGUAACGGCCCACCAAGGCGACGAUCAGUAGCCGGACUGAGAGGUUGGCCGGCCACAUUGGGACUGAGACACGGCCCAGACUCCUACGGGAGGCAGCAG
rnacentral:rRNA from 1 species